rnacentral:piRNA from 1 species
UUUGACAGUGGAUACAUUGUCUGGUGUCA